AAAUAAGUAAGCUAAUUAAAGCUUUUAGGUUCAUACCCUAACAAUAGAAAUCAAAUCUCUUAUUUA
rnacentral:tRNA from 1 species